rnacentral:rRNA from 1 species
GAUAUUGGGCGUAAGGGCUCGCAGGCGGUUUCUUAAGUCUGAUGUGAAAGCCCCCGGCUCAACCGGGGAGGGUCAUUGGAAACUGGGGAACUUGAGUGCAGAAGAGGAGAGUGGAAUUCCACGUGUAGCGGUGAAAUGCGUAGAGAUGUGGAGGAACACCAGUGGCGAAGGCGACUCUCUGGUCUGUAACUGACGCUGAGGAGCGAAAGCGUGGGGAGCGAACAGGAUUAGAUACCCUGGUAGUCCACGCCGUAAACGAUGAGUGCUAAGUGUUAGGGGGUUUCCGCCCCUUAGUGCUGCAGCUAACGCAUUAAGCACUCCGCCUGGGGAGUACGGUCGCAAGACUGAAACUCAAAGGAAUUGACGGGGGCCCGCACAAGCGGUGGAGCAUGUGGUUUAAUUCGAAGCAACGCGAAGAACCUUACCAGGUCUUGACAUCCUCUGACAAUCCUAGAGAUAGGACGUCCCCUUCGGGGGCAGAGUGACAGGUGGUGCAUGGUUGUCGUCAGCUCGUGUCGUGAGAUGUUGGGUUAAGUCCCGCAACGAGCGCAACCCUUGAUCUUAGUUGCCAGCAUUCAGUUGGGCACUCUAAGGUGACUGCCGGUGACAAACCGGAGGAAGGUGGGGAUGACGUCAAAUCAUCAUGCCCCUUAUGACCUGGGCUACACACGUGCUACAAUGGACAGAACAAAGGGCAGCGAAACCGCGAGGUUAAGCCCAUCCCACAAAU